AAAUUGAAGAGUUUGAUCAUGGCUCAGAUUGAACGCUGGCGGCAGGCCUAACACAUGCAAGUCGAACGGUAACAGGAAGCAGCUUGCUGCUUCGCUGAUGAGUGGCGGACGGGUGAGUAAUGUCUGGGAAACUGCCUGAUGGAGGGGGAUAACUACUGGAAACGGUAGCUAAUACCGCAUAACGUCGCAAGACCAAAGAGGGGGACCUUCGGGCCUCUUGCCAUCGGAUGUGCCCAGAUGGGAUUAGCUAGUAGGUGGGGUAACGGCUCACCUAGGCGACGAUCCCUAGCUGGUCUGAGAGGAUGACCAGCCACACUGGAACUGAGACACGGUCCAGACUCCUACGGGAGGCAGCAGUGGGGAAUAUUGCACAAUGGGCGCAAGCCUGAUGCAGCCAUGCCGCGUGUAUGAAGAAGGCCUUCGGGUUGUAAAGUACUUUCAGCGGGGAGGAAGGGAGUAAAGUUAAUACCUUUACUCAUUGACGUUACCCGCAGAAGAAGCACCGGCUAACUCCGUGCCAGCAGCCGCGGUAAUACGGAGGGUGCAAGCGUUAAUCGGAAUUACUGGGCGUAAAGCGCACGCAGGCGGUUUGUUAAGUCAGAUGUGAAAUCCCCGGGCUCAACCUGGGAACUGCAUCUGAUACUGGCAA
rnacentral:rRNA from 1 species